rnacentral:rRNA from 1 species
GGGGAGCGUUCUGUAAGCCUGUGAAGGUGGCCUGUGAGGGUUGCUGGAGGUAUCAGAAGUGCGAAUGCUGACAUAAGUAACGAUAAAGCGGGUGAAAAGCCCGCUCGCCGGAAGACCAAGGGUUCCUGUCCAACGUUAAUCGGGGCAGGGUGAGUCGACCCCUAAGGCGAGGCCGAAAGGCGUAGUCGAUGGGAAACGGGUUAAUAUUCCCGUACUUGGUGUUACUGCGAAGGGGGGACGGAGAAGGCUAUGUUGGCCGGGCGACGGUUGUCCCGGUUUAAGCGUGUAGGUGUGUGUUCCAGGUAAAUCCGGUUCACUUUAACACUGAGGCGUGAUGACGAGGCACUACGGUGCUGAAGCAACAAAUGCCCUGCUUCCAGGAAAAGCCUCUAAGCAUCAGGUAACAUCAAAUCGUACCCCAAACCGACACAGGUGGUCAGGUAGAGAAUACCAAGGCGCUUGAGAGAACUCGGGUGAAGGAACUAGGCAAAAUGGUGCCGUAACUUCGGGAGAAGGCACGCUGACAUGUAGGUGAAGUGAUUUACUCAUGGAGCUGAAGUCAGUCGAAGAUACCAGCUGGCUGCAACUGUUUAUUAAAAACACAGCACUGUGCAAACACGAAAGUGGACGUAUACGGUGUGACGCCUGCCCGGUGCCGGAAGGUUAAUUGAUGGGGUCAGCGCAAGCGAAGCUCCUGAUCGAAGCCCCGGUAAACGGCGGCCGUAACUAUAACGGUCCUAAGGUAGCGAAAUUCCUUGUCGGGUAAGUUCCGACCUGCACGAAUGGCGUAAUGAUGGCCAGGCUGUCUCCACCCGAGACUCAGUGAAAUUGAACUCGCUGUGAAGAUGCAGUGUACCCGCGGCAAGACGGAAAGACCCCGUGAACCUUUACUAUAGCUUGACACUGAACAUUGAGCCUUGAUGUGUAGGAUAGGUGGGAGGCUUUGAAGCGUGGACGCCAGUCUGCGUGGAGCCGACCUUGAAAUACCACCCUUUAAUGUUUGAUGUUCUAACGUGGACCCGUAAUCCGGGUUGCGGACAGUGUCUGGUGGGUAGUUUGACUGGGGCGGUCUCCUCCUAAAGAGUAACGGAGGAGCACGAAGGUUGGCUAAUCCUGGUCGGACAUCAGGAGGUUAGUGCAAUGGCAUAAGCCAGCUUGACUGCGAGCGUGACGGCGCGAGCAGGUGCGAAAGCAGGUCAUAGUGAUCCGGUGGUUCUGAAUGGAAGGGCCAUCGCUCAACGGAUAAAAGGUACUCCGGGGAUAACAGGCUGAUACCGCCCAAGAGUUCAUAUCGACGGCGGUGUUUGGCACCUCGAUGUCGGCUCAUCACAUCCUGGGGCUGAAGUAGGUCCCAAGGGUAUGGCUGUUCGCCAUUUAAAGUGGUACGCGAGCUGGGUUUAGAACGUCGUGAGACAGUUCGGUCCCUAUCUGCCGUGGGCGCUGGAGAACUGAGGGGGGCUGCUCCUAGUACGAGAGGACCGGAGUGGACGCAUCACUGGUGUUCGGGUUGUCAUGCCAAUGGCACUGCCCGGUAGCUAAAUGCGGAAGAGAUAAGUGCUGAAAGCAUCUAAGCACGAAACUUGCCCCGAGAUGAGUUCUCCCUGAGACUUAGAGUCUCCUGAAGGAACGUUGAAGACGACGACGUUGAUAGGCCGGGUGUGUAAGCGCAGCGAUGCGUUGAGCUAACCGGUACUAAUGAACCGUGAGGCUUAACCUU